GUGAGGAAUUUUCCGCAAUGGGCGAAAGCCUGACGGAGCAAUGCCGCGUGAAGGAUGAAGGCCUAUGGGUUGUAAACUUCUUUUCUCAGAAAAGAAUUAUGACGGUAUCUGAGGAAUAAGCAUCGGCUACUCUGUGCCAGCAGCCGCGGUAAGACAGAGGAUGCAAGCGUUAUCCGGAAUGAUUGGGCGUAAAGCGUCUGUAGGUUGUUUAAAAAGUAUUCUGUCAAAGAUUAGGGCUUAACCCUAGAUAGGCAGAAUAAACUUUUAAGCUAGAGUUUGGUAGAGGCAGAGGGAAUUCCCGGUGGAGCGGUGAAAUGCGUAGAUAUCGGGAGGAACACCAAAGGCGAAGGCACUCUGCUGGGCCAAUACUAACACUGAGAGACGAAAGCGAGGGGAGCAAAUGGGAUUAGAAACCCCAGUAGUCC
rnacentral:rRNA from 1 species